GCAUCUGUAGCCUAGUUGGUAAAGGAAGCACUCUUGUAUGUGACUCAGCAUUGCUGAGGUUGUGAGUUCAAAUCUCACCAGGCACA
rfam:Puccinia graminis f. sp. tritici CRL 75-36-700-3 supercont2.39 genomic scaffold, whole genome shotgun sequence.